rnacentral:misc_RNA from 1 species
AUUCUGAUCAAGACUAUUAUUACACACGAAAGAAGGAGACACGAGCCAUGAACAAAGAUUUCGUCUGUCCCCAGUGAAUUCGAAAUGCAUACCAGCAAAUCAACAGGUUCUUCUGUUGAUAUCAGUGGUGGUAUUUCUUCCUUUUUAGGCUUUUCAGGUUUCUGCUUGGUUUCUCGAUACUCCUGCAGGUCACAAAGGCAAACACUAUAACCAAAUCGAUGAAGCUAAGUUCUCACCAGCCUGUUAUAUGUGACCGCAUUGUAUAACUACGUUCUCACCAGCCUUUUAUUGGGCAUUGAAUCCGUUUGAGGUGCUUCUCUAAUGUAUUCCUCCAUCGUUACCAGAAACGAUGCAGGAGGCUGCAAGUUAAAGAUCAAGAAUGAAGAGAGAUUAAACGAAACGUAAUUCAUGAAGAUUGUACAUUAUCCAAAAGGGUGAGGAAAAAAGACCUGUUUCAAUGUAGGAAACUGAAAGGAACAUGAAGUAGCAAGUUAAGUUCAAAAACAGCAAUGGUUAAUGAGCUGGAGAUAUCAAAGACACGAGAGGAGCAUCAUACAUAGUCGACAAGAUUGAUUAUCCCAUCGUUGAUUGCACAAUAGAUCUUGAAACUUUCCUUCAACACCUACAAAAAGAACAAUUAGAGCUGCAAAAUUCACCAGUGAAAACGAUGAUAGUCAGAGAACUGGAAUAGCAAUGAGCUUAUCGCGGCUAAAACAGCAAAGGUUGUUACGACCUGGCAACCAGUUAAGCGAUAAAGAAGUUGUUGUAAUGCUGGGAGCUGCUCUAGAAGUUCUUCGGCAUUCAAAAUCCUAGUUCUACAAUGAACCUGAUGUGAAACUCAGGUUAUCUACAUUGUUUACAUUAUGUAUCUUACAUGAAAAUAUGCAGAUGACUAACAAAAUGCACCUUGCUUAUUCCAACUGAAGGUUUGGUUGAUCUUUCUG